rnacentral:rRNA from 1 species
GAUUAACGCGAAGAACCUUACCAGCCCUUGACAUGUCCAGGACCGGUCGCAGAGAUGUGACCUUCUCUUCGGAGCCUGGAACACAGGUGCUGCAUGGCUGUCGUCAGCUCGUGUCGUGAGAUGUUGGGUUAAGUCCCGCAACGAGCGCAACCCCCGUCCUUAGUUGCUACCAUUUAGUUGAGCACUCUAAGGAGACUGCCGGUGAUAAGCCGCGAGGAAGGUGGGGAUGACGUCAAGUCCUCAUGGCCCUUACGGGCUGGGCUACACACGUGCUACAAUGGCGGUGACAAUGGGAUGCUAGGGGCGACCCUUCGCAAAUCUCAAAAAGCCGUCUCAGUUCGGAUUGGGCUCUGCAACUCGAGCCCAUGAAGUUGGAAUCGCUAGUAAUCGUGGAUCAGCACGCCACGGUGAAUACGUUCCCGGGCCUUGUACACACCGAAUCACUAGU